rnacentral:rRNA from 1 species
GAUGAACGCUGGCGGCGUGCCUAAUACAUGCAAGUCGAGCGAACGGACGAGAAGCUUGCUUCUCUGAUGUUAGCGGCGGACGGGUGAGUAACACGUGGAUAACCUACCUAUAAGACUGGGAUAACUUCGGGAAACCGGAGCUAAUACCGGAUAAUAUUUCGAACCGCAUGGUUCAAAAGUGAAAGACGGUCUUGCUGUCACUUAUAGAUGGAUCCGCGCUGCAUUAGCUAGUUGGUAAGGUAACGGCUUACCAAGGCAACGAUGCAUAGCCGACCUGAGAGGGUGAUCGGCCACACUGGAACUGAGACACGGUCCAGACUCCUACGGGAGGCAGCAGUAGGGAAUCUUCCGCAAUGGGCGAAAGCCUGACGGAGCAACGCCGCGUGAGUGAUGAAGGUCUUCGGAUCGUAAAACUCUGUUAUUAGGGAAGAACAUAUGUGUAAGUAACUGUGCACAUCUUGACGGUACCUAAUCAGAAAGCCACGGCUAACUACGUGCCAGCAGCCGCGGUAAUACGUAGGUGGCAAGCGUUAUCCGGAAUUAUUGGGCGUAAAGCGCGCGUAGGCGGUUUUUUAAGUCUGAUGUGAAAGCCCACGGCUCAACCGUGGAGGGUCAUUGGAAACUGGAAAACUUGAGUGCAGAAGAGGAAAGUGGAAUUCCAUGUGUAGCGGUGAAAUGCGCAGAGAUAUGGAGGAACACCGGUGGCGAAGGCGACUUUCUGGUCUGUAACUGACGCUGAUGUGCGAAAGCGUGGGGAUCAAACAGGAUUAGAUACCCUGGUAGUCCACGCCGUAAACGAUGAGUGCUAAGUGUUAGGGGGUUUCCGCCCCUUAGUGCUGCAGCUAACGCAUUAAGCACUCCGCCUGGGGAGUACGACCGCAAGGUUGAAACUCAAAGGAAUUGACGGGGACCCGCGCAAGCGGUGGAGCAUGUGGUUUAAUUCGAAGCAACGCGAAGAACCUUACCAAAUCUUGACAUCCUUUGACAACUCUAGAGAUAGAGCCUUCCCCUUCGGGGGACAAGGUGACAGGUGGUGCAUGGUUGUCGUCAGCUCGUGUCGUGAGAUGUUGGGUUAAGUCCCGCAACGAGCGCAACCCUUAAGCUUAGUUGCCAUCAUUAAGUUGGGCACUCUAAGUUGACUGCCGGUGACAAACCGGGGGAAGGUGGGGAUGACGUCAAAUCAUCAUGCCCCUUAUGAUUUGGGCUACACACGUGCUACAAUGGACAAUACAAAGGGCAGCGAAACCGCGAGGUCAAGCAAAUCCCAUAAAGUUGUUCUCAGUUCGGAUUGUAGUCUGCAACUCGACUACAUGAAGCUGGAAUCGCUAGUAAUCGUAGAUCAGCAUGCUACGGUGAAUACGUUCCCGGG